GGCCGCGCUGGAACGCCACCGUGCGGUCCAUGUCCUCGUAGUAUCGCCCAGACUCGCCCAUGUAGUCCCACCUGCAUCCACCGACCACCAAGCACACUCUCACUACAGACCGGAGGGGAUUGCCAUGUGCAGUUCUACUCUACCGUCCGUACCCCUGCAUCGAGCCGGUGUGCGUCCACCAGUGGCCGGAGUUGAAGGAGAGCACGUCGGCGUCGCGCCACGACUCGGCGUUCUCGGAGAUGUCGUCCAGCAUCAGCACCCGCUUCCCCUGGACCACGUCGAUGUCCACCAGGAACUUGUAGGUGUACAAAGGGUCCGCGGAGACGAGCUGCGCCGGCGACUGCGGCGCGGCGGCGUGCAGCAGGCAGACGAGCGACUCCCACUGGUUGCGCCCCAGCGAGUCGCCCACGAACAUCACCGUCUUCCCCUUCAUCCGCGUCAGGAAGUCCGCGCCAUCGAACCUGCAGGUGCACGCAGACACAGUACAAGCUAAGUAAUCAGGGCGGCGCUCACUGCCACUGGUUGCCGUGGGUUCAUGAGGCAUGGCUGGCGCUCACGGCCACGUACGUACCUCGGUAGCUCGCAGCCGGCCGGCUUCCAGAGGUACCGGAGGUAGUCGGAGUCCGGGCGGCCGUAGAGCUGGCAGUUGAACUCCGCGUCGAUGAGCGGGCAGUUGUACCCGGUGUACGCCGCCGAGGCCGAGCUACCGCCGUCGAGGACCCAGCUGCCGCUGAAGACGUCGCAGCCGCCGGCGGCCAGCCCGGGCGUGGCAUCGUGCCUGUGGCGCCGCGCCAGGCCGACGGAGAGCGCAGAGGCUGCCGGGAGAGAGAAGGCGUGGAGCAGGAUGAGGACGGAGGAGGACAACGCGACGACGCCGAGGACGGCACUCUUCCUGCGGGACGGCAGCAUCGUGGCAAACAAAAGAGAAGAGAACGGAAGCAAAGCCGUCUUUCUGAUGGCCCCUUUAUGCUGCUGCUCGGUUCAUCGUGUAACCACGAGUCCAGAAUCCAGAUAGCCGCGAGUAAUCUAUCUAGCUGCGCUAAUUCUCAGGAGUUCGAUUGAAGAGGAGGUGUGCAUGUGAGGGUAAGAAUUGCCGCUAGACCCCGACUGGAGUUCACGUGAGCGUGUUCGAGAUCUCGUAAGUAGUUUGCACCCGUAUGGAAUCCGUGGAUUCGUUGCCUUGCCCGGUUUGCCCUUCGGCGUACGUCGGUGUAGGAACAUCCAAAGAUUCGCAGCCAUGGAAUUCGUGCUUUCUUGGAAAUGGAACAUACUUUGCAUA